rnacentral:ncRNA from 1 species
UUCCUGGUUGAUCUUUCCAGUUGUCAUAUGCUUGUCACAAAGAUUAAGUCAUGCAUGUCUCAGUGCAUGCCGAAUUAAGGUGAAACCGCGAAUGGCUCAUUAAAUCAGUUAUGAUUCAAUAAAUUGUACCGAAAUUUACUUGGUUAACUGUGGUAAUUCUAGAGCUAAUACAUGCAACACAGAGUCCCGGCCAGUGAUGGAAGGGACGCUUUAUUAGUUAAAAACUAAUCGGUGGCGCCCGGUCCGCCGUGCGUCCACCGUUUAUUUUGGCGACUCUAAAUAAAUUUGUACUGAUCGUACGGUGUCCGCAGCGGCGAAGCAUCUUUCAAAUGUCUGCCUUAGCAACAACUGUCGAUGGUGGGUUCUGCGCCUACCAUGGUUGUAACGGGGAUUCAGGUUUCGAUUCCGGAAAGUGAGCCUGCGAAAAGGCUACCACAUCCAAGGAAGGCAAAAAACGCGCAAAUUAACCACUCCCGGCACAGGAAAAUAGUGACGAAAAAUAACAAUAAGGACUCAACAGGAAUGCUUAAUCGGAAUGAAUGCAAAUUAAAUCCUUUAAAAAGGAUUAAUUGAAGGGUAAGUCUGGUGCCAGCAGCCACGGUAAUUCCAGCUCCAUUUACGUAUAUUAAAGCUUUUGCGAUAAAAAAGCUCGUAGUUGAAUCUGUGUUGCACAAGUUCGGUUCACCGCUCGCGGUGUUAAAAUCGAAAUCGCGUCUCUAGACGACUUAAAUACCUGGCGGGGUGUUGUACUCAGUGGAGGAGUCACCACGCUGCGAUCUGUUGAGACUCAACCCUCGGCUUGGGGAUUCGUCUUGUCGGUUAGACGAAACCCCACGUGCGCGGGCGAUGGACGAGCGUAGGCAACACGACGCCAGCGGACUUGAAAUUUUUUCACAUAAAAGCGAAAGCAACACGCCGCGGGGGACAUAGAAAAAUGCCGCUUGAAAGCGAAAGCAACACUCCGCUGAGCACUUUGAAAAAUAUCGCUUGAAACGAAUUCAACACACCGUAACUCGACUAUACGGUUGAAAGUGCGAUUUGUCCAGUCGGAGGUGACGCCCGCUAUCGGAGGUGACGACCGUACCCGGAGGUGACGCCCGCACUCGGAGGUGACGACCGUUUUCGGAGGUGACGCCCGCAGCCGUAGGUGACGCUCGCAGCCGGAGGUGACGCCCGCAGCCGGAGGUGACGCCCGCAGCUGGAGAUGACGCCCGCAGCUGGAGAUGACGCCCGAAGUCGGAGGUGACGCCUGCUGCUGGAGGUGACGCCCGCUGUCGGAGGUGACGACCGAAACCAGAGAUGACGCCCAUCCAUAU